UGCCCUUGUGAAAGUCCAAGAGCAUGCUUCCUCUCUCUGCUCUCCAGAGAUAUGCCUGAGGAUCUAAGUCCACAGUCUGAAACCUGGAAAAAAAGGGCCCUCACCAGAACUCCACCAUGCUGUCACUCUGAUCUAGGACUUCCAGCCUCUAGACCAGUGAGAAGAUCCUGACUAACAGCAGCAGAGACUAAAAUCAACUGCCUCAUCAGGGUACAACAGAAGACAAACGAGACGGGGAACACAACCAUCCCAACAAGUUUCUUAAAAUUUACGUCACGCCUCUGCUCAAGAUCCUCCAUCUGACUCAGAACAAAUGCACAAGACCUCACAAUGGCCCAGAACGCUCUAAGAGAUCUAAACCACCCAUGAGAAAUAACACCUCCCCAAUGUUCCUGCUAAACGGCCUCAAAAGUUUUAAACAAGUAAUGUUUAUCAAGUUAUAUUCUGCUAAGCCUCUGCUAUGACAGUGAUGAAAUUUUCUGACCAUCUGUUGUUAUAGACUUAUUCCUAUUUUCUGCACAUAAAGUUCACUUCUGAAAACAACUCUCUAUUGAUCUCUCUCUAGCAAGAUGUUUUCUUUUCUGUAGGGAAAAGAAAGAGAUAUCAAAAUGGAGUUAGAGAGAUUAGACUGUCACUGUGUUUAUGUAGAAAAGGAGGACAUAAAAAACUCCAUUUUGAAGUUUGAAUCAGCACUGCAAUUACAACACUAACAAGUGACACAUGAUCUUAAGUAAGUUGUCAAUCAGAGGUUAAAAGUAUUAUCACAAUUGUUAAAUGUGUAUAGCUAAUUAGAACUAUGAGAGCAUUAAAGAAAGGGGGAGACAGGAACAACUUUUCAACAACAUAUAAAUGUUUAUUUUAUAUCUAUUAGACAAACUGUCCAUAAACGAUAGAACCAAACAGAAGGAAAAAAGCUACUUUACACCCAUGAAAUGUCCCAGGGCCCCAGAGCAUAUUAUAGCAGGAGCUACUGUGGAAAAGAAAAAAUGAUUCAUAUCAACAACUCAAGAAGGAAUCAAGAAUUAGGAUUACAAUUCACUGAAGGCAAGCACCCCAGGUCCAGAGAAUAUGAUUCAGUUGGACAUAGUGGCAGUGGCUGCACGUCUGUAGUCCCAGCUACUCGGAAGGCUGAGGCAGGAGGAUCACCAGAGUCCAGGAGUUUGAGUCCAGCCCAGGCAACAUAGCAACACCCCAUCUCUUACAAAUAAAACAAAAAGAACAUGACCAAAAUUAUUUCUUCUGUUGAAAAAUAUACUCAGUACAAUCUCA